rnacentral:tRNA from 1 species
GCGAGCGUAGUUCAAUGGUAGAAUACCAGCUUCCCAAGCUGGCUACAGGGGUUCGAUUCCCCUCGCUCGCU